AACGAACGCUGGCGGCAUGCCUAACACAUGCAAGUCGAACGAGACCUUCGGGUCUAGUGGCGCACGGGUGCGUAACGCGUGGGAACCUGCCCUUAGGUUCGGAAUAACUCCCCGAAAGGGGUGCUAAUACCGGAUAAUGUCUUCGGACCAAAGAUUUAUCGCCUUUGGAUGGGCCCGCGUUGGAUUAGCUAGUUGGUAGGGUAAAAGCCUACCAAGGCGACGAUCCAUAGCUGGUCUGAGAGGAUGAUCAACCACACUGGGACUGAGACACGGCCCAGACUCCUACGGGAGGCAGCAGUGGGGAAUAUUGGACAAUGGGCGAAAGCCUGAUCCAGCAAUGCCGCGUGAGUGAUGAAGGCCUUAGGGUUGUAAAGCUCUUUUACCCGGGAUGAUAAUGACAGUACCGGGAGAAUAAGCUCCGGCUAACUCCGU
rnacentral:rRNA from 1 species